AGGAAACAUAUUUAGAUACAGAAGUCCCAGAUAAUGGUAUACUGGGGUGAAAUAAUUGCUUCAUUUUGGACUGAAUUCCCUGUUGGAGGAAUUGAGAGCCAAGAUGAUUCUAGAAAUACUCAUAUUGGAGCUGGACAGUAAGUGUUGUUAGAAGGACUCACCGGCCACCCUGUCCUGCUCUACCCUCUCCUCGCUGUAGGAGUGAAAUUGAAUUGAGAUGGUUUUAUGGUCAAAACUAACACAGAAGAGGGUUUUUUGCUGGUUAAAUUUUAUUUUUAGAUGUUACUGACUAAAUAGCUAACUUGCAGAGGGAUUGGUUUUGUAGGGUCUUCUGGGAGACAGUCUGCUUGCUGUUUUGAAUGCAGAGGUUAAAGGAACACUGUCUGCUUACCUGAGUUCCCUGUGUGCCUCCUCUAAUGCUGAAGUCCAUGUGGAUCUCUGCUAAUGGGCCCAUGGCAUGGACUCGUCAGAGCCUCUUUGACAGGUCACUGGAAGGACUGAGCGCGUUCGGGAGCCUGGAGGAACUCAUCUUGGACAACAAUCUGCUCGGGAACGACCUCGUGUUGCCAGGGUUACCCCGGCUCCAUACCUUAACCCUCAACAAGAACCAAAUCACUGACUUGGAGUGUCUGCUUGAUCACCUGGCAGAAGUGACGCCAGCUCUGGAGUACCUCAGCCUGCUGGGGAAUGUGGCAUGUCCCAACGAGCUGGUCAGCCUGGAGAAGGAUGAGGAAGACUACAAGAGGUACAGAUACUUUGUUCUGCACAAGCUGCCCAAUUUGAAGUUUCUGGAUGCCCGGAAAGUCACCAAACAAGAACGAGAGGAAGCUUUGGUCAGAGGAGCGUUCAUGAAGGUGGUGAAACCCAAGGCUUCCAGUGACAGUGUUGCUGUCUCUCCAGAAUGUCACUACACACCCUUGCCGUCUGCAUCCAGGGAACUCACCAGUCACCGAGGUGUCCUGGGAAAGUGUCGCUAUGUUUACUACGGGAAAAACUCGGAGGGCAACAGGUUUAUCCGAGAUGACCAGCUCUGAAGAAACAUGAGGUCAUUCCGGCCUGGGACAGACUGCCCAAGAGAAGAGGGAAGAUGGACAGAUAAGUGAUUGAAAAUCUGACUUGCCUUUCAUAUCAAAAGAAGACUUCACCUUCUGGAAACAAGGAACUCUUUGUGGUACGGCAGUGGGACUGUUGGUGGGAUGGAACCAUCUCCUGGAAUGGGUUGGGACUCUGGCAUCGUGGAGACUAAAAUGAAGGACGGCCAGCGCAAACGUGAGGUCGAACGAAAGAGCCCUGGGCUUCUCUGCAUUCUUGAGUUCAUGCUGUGCAGGGAGACCAGCCACAGCCAGCCCUGAGGAUGGGAAGAAAUGGAGGAAAAGGAUGCCAUUUCUGUGAAUCUCCCGACCCUCCUGAGAAGGCAUGAUUGACGAGGUGAGCCAUGAAAACCCACCUGUGUCCCCCAGCUGCCGUGUGCAUGGAGGGUGGUUCUUGGGUGGUUUGCGCUCCCUGUCCUAGGAUGCUAGAGGUAGCCCAGCACUUCAAACGCAGUUAGCUUUAGGAGGGACUCCAGCUUUCUGUAAAUAAUACCAGAGGGAUUUGUGUAGAACGAAGCAUUCAUUUUAUAGUUAUACACACUGCAAAUUUGAAAGAAAAGGGGCUGAAUUCAGUUGGUUGGCCAUUUAUUAUGAAAAGAGCUGGCUAUUAACUGAACUCAGCAAAGUUUGCAUGAAAUUAAAUAGGCAUACCCUUGAUGUUCUGCCAGCAGUUUUCUCGGCAAACAAACAGCUUUUGCUGUGGCCCAGUAGUGGAAAGGUUGAUACUGUCAUUCUGGGCUAAAGCAACUGACACUGGUUCUAGGAGCCCAUUAGAAAAGACUCAUACUAAUGUGGCCUUGAUUGGAAAACUGUGUUUCAAAUGCAAAUUGCAGAACGGUGUCCAUAGCUGCUCCAAAAACAUCAGUUACAAUUUUAACGUGGAGUCUUUGAGGCUCUAUCAAUAACCCCACGUUGUUUGCUUUUAAUGUAAAGACAAUGGCACACAUCAAAAUAAUAAAAGUAACCAGAACAAUCAGAUUACAUUUCGAUUCACAAACAUAAUUUUGAAAGUGAGAGAAAAACGAGAAAUUGUUAGUCCAAUUUCCUUAGUUUACAGGUGAAGAACCAGGCCUGUAGAAAUUCUUUCUGUGAGGGACAGACUCCGGUCCCAUUGCCUCCUUUUACUGUCUUGGCUUAGAGAAACUGACAUCAUGGGGCUUCAUGAAUUAGGAAGGACAGAUUACAUUUUUAGUCCCAUUUUAAUUUUUCUCAAAACUCAUAAAAUAUCAUUAGAGUGCUUUUUAAUUUUUUCUGAAAAGCAGGAAAUCGUAAGAUUGAUAAAUAGUUUAAUGUGAACCUGAUGGCUUGAUUAAUUAAUCACCAAGCUGAGGAACCACUACAAUUCAUAUGUCAAUUCAGACUAUUUUCGGGAAAUGAUUUGAAUCAAUUGCUAAUGAAAUUGAGAAAUUUAGGAGCCGCUUUCUGACUUCCAAGUGACAGGGCUCAUAUUUAACUCAAGAGACGUGACAGUUAAUGACAACAUAAAAAGUGCCAUGAAUUAUUUUCCAGAUCAUGGGAAAAUUACAGCAUCUCCCAGAUGAAGAAGGCUGUUUAUUUUCAUGCUGAUGAGCUGAGAGCUGUUUCAUCACAUGCUAAGAAAUCUUCCAUGCUGUUUAAAACCGAGGUUCUUUUUGAAAUAAACAAAGACCAUAAUCCUCAGGAAUAAUUGUAAUAUUUCAUAACCUCUUCCUUAAUACAGAGUGAUAGAUGAACCUAGUCUAACUCAUACUACGCCUGAAACCCAAUGAAAAAAAAAAAGAUGGUUAUUCAUUUAUCUAAUUACUUUAAACCCUUAAGAUAGGCAGAGUUUAAUUUCUCUUCCCUGCUUUAAUUCAUAGGCUGAGUUUUCCAAUCCUGUUUAUGUGUAAAAGGGCUUGCUUUGUACAUCUUUCCAUAACUUUUCAUUUCCAGACAGACUCUUUAAUUAAUUUAGUUACAUGUAGAUAUAACAAGACGCUUAUUGUGUGUUAAUGAAAUAUCAGUGGGAAAGUGCACUGAUCAAUGUUUGUUUAAUCUAAUUAAGGUGUUCACAAGGCAAUAUUAUGUAAUUAACUCAAAACAGCAUAAGUAAUACUUGCAUGUUUAAAUUUUUAUUAAUAUAUUUAAGAAUUUUUAGAUCAUGCUGUUUUAUUGGCUUACUUGAGAAAUAUAAAAUUAAAAUGUUUGUAAAGAUGCUACUGGAGCAACUAUUAAAUGUGACUUUUAAUCAUCCUAACAGUCCUUGAGGUACCCGUGCAGUUCUAAUAGUCUCACUAAGGGUGAAAGAUGAAUUUGCUACAAACAACAAGAGUCCAUGCAGAAAACCUUCCUGGAGUGGUCUUCUGAAUUUUUUUCUCUAAGUUCCCGUGCUGCUUUGCAAGGAUGACGUAUAACAGGACUGGCCAAUCCUCAAACCCAGGACCAUUCAAGCACACCGCAAACCCAGAGUCAUUUGCACAGUGACCCAGG